rnacentral:rRNA from 1 species
GACGAACGCUGGCGGCGUGCUUAACACAUGCCAGUCGAACGGAAAGGCUCCAGCUUGCUGGAGUACUCGAGUGGCGAACGGGUGAGUAACACGUGGGUAAUCUGCCCUGCACUCUGGGAUAAGCCUGGGAAACUGGGUCUAAUACUGGAUAUGACCUUUCUCCUUAUGGGGUUUGGUGGAAAGUUUUUCGGUGUAGGAUGAGCCCGCGGCCUAUCAGCUUGUUGGUGGGGUGAUGGCCUACCAAGGCGACGACGGGUAGCCGGCCUGAGAGGGUGAUCGGCCACAUUGGGACUGAGAUACGGCCCAGACUCCUACGGGAGGCAGCAGUGGGGAAUAUUGCACAAUGGGCGGAAGCCUGAUGCAGCGACGCCGCGUGAGGGAUGACGGCCUUCGGGUUGUAAACCUCUUUCAGCAGGAACGAAGCGUAAGUGACGGUACCUGCAGAAGAAGCACCGGCUAACUAUGUG